rnacentral:ncRNA from 1 species
UUUCAGGGCGGGGUGAGAUUCCCCACCGGCGGUAACUGGCCGCGUCCAUGCGAUGCCAGAAGCCCGCGACCCGCGAAGAGCGGCUGACCUGGUGAGAUUCCAGGGCCGACGGUUACAGUCCGGAAGGAAGAAA